CUUCCAUCCGCCGCCAUCCGCCUCGAUCCGCCGCCCCCCGCCCGCCGGGACUGAGCGGGGUCCCCCCGAACCGCCAUGAGGGCCAAGUGGCGCAAGAAGCGAAUGCGCAGGCUGAAGCGCAAGAGGAGAAAGAUGAGGCAGAGGUCCAAGUAACCGCCCCCAGCCGGCGGGGACACGGCCCGGUGACGCCCCGGUGCCGUCCCGGUGCUGUCCCGGUGCCGCGGGGGGGUCCCGCCGUGCCGGACUCGUUCUUUACUUUGCGGCGGCCGCUGUGCCGUGAAUAAAAGUUGGUUCUUGCUUA